rnacentral:snRNA from 1 species
GUGCUCGCUUUGGCAGCACAUACAUUAAAACUGGAACAACACAGAGGUUAGCAUGGCUUCUGUGCAGGGAUGACAUGCAAAUCCGUGAAGAGCACUUUCAGGUA